AGGCCCAGGCAGCAUAUAUUUUAAAACUGAAACAAAACUGAGCAGAUUGGGAUGGCCCCUGCAUAAGGAUGACAGGCAAAUUGAUGAAGAAUUCCAUAGUAAA